UCAGUCGACUCCUACGGGGAGGCAGCAGUGAGGAAUAUUGGUCAAUGGGCGCAAGCCUGAACCAGCCAUGCCGCGUGCAGGAAGACUGCCCUAUGGGUUGUAAACUGCUUUAUACAGGAAGAAACACUCGGACGUGUCCGAGCUUGACGGUACUGUAAGAAUAAGGAUCGGCUAACUCCGUGCCAGCAGCCGCGGUAAUACGGAGGAUCCAAGCGUUAUCCGGAAUCAUUGGGUUUAAAGGGUCCGUAGGUGGAUUAGUAAGUCAGAGGUGAAAGCCUGCAGCUCAACUGUAGAACUGCCUUUGAUACUGCUAGUCUUGAGUCAUUAUGAAGUGGUUAGAAUGUGUAGUGUAGCGGUGAAAUGCAUAGAUAUUACACAGAAUACCGAUUGCGAAGGCAGAUCACUAAUAAUGUACUGACACUGAUGGACGAAAGCGUGGGGAGCGAACAGGAUUAGAUACCCUGGUAG
rnacentral:rRNA from 1 species